UAUAUAUAUAUAUAUACAAGAUAUCUCAGAGCAAAGUAAAUGUCUGAUACAGCCCAUUGACAAAACUGAUCAUUUACAAAACACUUAAAACCGGAAAGAAACUAAAUAAAACUCCCCAAAAGUGUUUGUAUUAGUGUUUCCAUCAAUAACGCUGGUUUGGUCAGAAUAAACCUUUAAUACACAGAGUUAUAGUCAAACAGGCUACAAUGACAGCCAUGUAAUCCUUGCGCCCGUCAAAGUGCAUCCACUAACAGUAGUUGUUGUUUGUUCCACUAACAGUAGUUGUUGUUUGUUCCACUAACAGUAGUUGUUGUUUGUUCCACUAACAGUAGUUGUUUUUGUUUGUUCUACUAACAGUAGUUGUUGUUUGUUCCACUAACAGUAGUUGUUGUUUGUUCCACUAACAGUAGUUGUUGUUUGUUCCACUGACAGUAGUUGUUGUUUGUUCCACUAACAGUAGUUGUUUGUUCCACUAACAGUAGUUGUUGUUUGUUCCACUGACAGUAGUUGUUGUUUGUUCCACUAACAGUAGUUGUUGUUUGUUCCACUGACAGUAGUUGUUGUUUGUUCCACUAACAGUAGUUGUUUGUUCUACUAACAGUAGUUGUUGUUUGAUCCACUAACAGUAGUUGUUGUUUGUUCCACUAACAGUAGUUGUUUGUUCUACUAACAGUAGUUGUUGUUUGUUCCACUAACAGUUAUUGUUUGUUCCCCUAACAGUAGUUGUUGUUGUUUGAUCCACUAACAGUAGUUGAUGUUUGUUCCACUAACAGUUAUUGUUUGUUCCACUAACAGUAGUAGUUGUUUGUUCUACUAACAGUAGUUGUUGUUUGUUCCACUAACAGUUAUUGUUUGUUCCACUAACAGUAGUAGUUGUUUGUUCCACUAACAGUUGUUGUUGUUUGUUCCACUAACAGUAGUUGUUGUUUGUUCCACUAACAGUAGUUGUUGUUGUUUGUUCCACUAACAGUAGUUGUUGUUGUUUGUUCCACUAACAGUAGUUGUUUUUGUUUGUUCCACUAACAGUAGUUGUUGUUGUUUGUUCCACUAACAGUAGUUGUUUGUUCCACUAACAGUAGUUGUUGUUUGUUCCACUGACAGACUCAGGUUGUUAUUGUCAGUGUCUGACAGCAUUAUGGAAAGGAUCCCUACAGAGAUAGACCUUUAGUUUAACCACAAACAGCCGUAAUAUCACUAUCACUCUCCACCAGACUCCAGAGACACAAACACUAAUUUUACCUUCAGAUCAUUGUAACUUCAUUAAAGUGGACAGAAACAGAAUAAAACUCAUUAAAAGCGUCUCUGUUAGUGUUUCCAACAAUCACCAACUCUGGUUUGGUGGAAAUAAAUCCUUAAUUCACCGACGUAGAUGAUAAAAACAGCAGUUUCAGUCGGAGCAGACCGGCUAUGGAAACAACCCACAGAGAGGCUGCGAUACAACACCUCAAACCUAAGAUUAUUAGAGUAAAAAUACAAGAUUAUUUCCAGAAUAUUUUACUCUAAUCUGUAAGUUUCCAGGUUUUCCAGGACUGGUUGGAGCCCUGUUCCUGUUCCUGAAGCUGCUCCUUUACACACAGAUACUUCCUCUUUUGUUUUCCUCCUCUAAUUCUGUCGUAUUCUGGGGCUAAAUGUAUUUAAUAAUAAACUCUCUAACAAUCAACCUGCAUCCUCCUUUCAUAUAUAACUCAUAAAGUGGCAAAUUACAAUAUAUAGCACAACUUCUCUUCACUUGGCAUGUCAAU